rnacentral:rRNA from 1 species
GGGUCAGUAGGUUGGUCGUGCCACCGGUACGUACUGGUCUCACUGAUUCCUCCUUCCUGAAGAACCGUAAUGCCAUUAAUUUGGUGUUGCGGGGAAACAGGACUGUUACUUUGAAAAAAUUAGAGUGUUUAAAGCAAGCUAACAAUUGAAUACAUUAGCAUGGAAUAAUGAAAUAGGACGAUCGAUCCUAUUUUGUUGGUUUCUAGGAUUGACGUA